UCAGGAUGAACGCUAGCGACAGGCUUAACACAUGCAAGUCGAGGGCAGCAUAAAAGUAGCAAUACUUGGUGGCGACCGGCGCACGGGUGAGUAACGCGUAUGCAACCUACCUAUCAGAGGGGAAUAACCCGGCGAAAGUCGGACUAAUACCGCAUAAAACAGGGGCACCGCAUGGUGAUAUUUGUUAAAGAGAUUCGCUGAUAGAUGGGCAUGCGUUCCAUUAGGUAGUUGGUGAGGUAACGGCUCACCAAGCCGACGAUGGAUAGGGGAACUGAGAGGUUGGUCCCCCACACUGGUACUGAGACACGGACCAGACUCCUACGGGAGGCAGCAGUGAGGAAUAUUGGUCAAUGGGCGAGAGCCUGAACCAGCCAAGUCGCGUGAAGGAAGAAGGAUCUAUGGUUCGUAAACUUCUUUUGCAGGGGAAUAAAGUGCAGGACGUGUCCUGUUUUGUAUGUACCCUGAGAAUAAGGAUCGGCUAACUCCGUGCCAGCAGCUGC
rnacentral:rRNA from 1 species